GACGAACGCUGGCGGCGUGCUUAACACAUGCAAGUCGAACGGAAAGGCCCUGCUUUUGUGGGGUGCUCGAGUGGCGAACGGGUGAGUAACACGUGAGUAACCUGCCCUUGACUUUGGGAUAACUUCAGGAAACUGGGGCUAAUACCGGAUAGGAGCUCCUGCUGCAUGGUGGGGGUUGGAAAGUUUCGGCGGUUGGGGAUGGACUCGCGGCUUAUCAGCUUGUUGGUGGGGUAGUGGCUUACCAAGGCUUUGACGGGUAGCCGGCCUGAGAGGGUGACCGGCCACAGUGGGACUGAGAUACGGCCCAGACUCCUACGGGAGGCAGCAGUGGGGAAUAUUGCACAAUGGGCGGAAGCCUGAUGCAGCAACGCCGCGUGCGGGAUGGCGGCCUUCGGGUUGUAAACCGCUUUCGCCUGUGACGAAGCGUGAGUGACGGUAAUGGGUAAAGAAGCACCGGCUAACUACGUG
rnacentral:rRNA from 1 species